UGGCACGUGCUCCGCUCCGAUGGUGGAGCAUAGGUUUUGGAGGCUCUUCACCUCCCCCGGCUCAAUGGCUGCUCACCUGCUCCCGCCCCCAUUUGUCGGAUCAGUUCGGAUCGUAAAGCAAAAGGAAACAAAAAAUAUAUUUUGGAAACCCAGUCCGGAUCUUAAAGCAAAAAACAAAAAAAAAAAAGGAUAUUUGUAAAACAAGGGAAGGAAGAGCAAUGUAAGGACCUUGGGAG
rnacentral:lncRNA from 1 species